UUCCGGUUGAUCCCGCCGGAGGCUACUGCUAUUGGAAUUCGACUAAGCCAUGCGAGUCAAGGUGUCUUCGGACGCCGGCAAACGGCUCAGUAACACGUAGGUAAUCUACCCUCAGGACUGAGAUAACCCCGGGAAACUGGGGCUAAUACCAGAUAGAUAAAAGAUACUGGAAUGUUCUUUUAUCCAAAGCUUUUGUGCCUGAGGAUGAGCCUGCGCCCGAUUAGGUAGUUGGUGGGGUAAUGGCCCACCAAGCCUGCGAUCGGUACGGGCAGUGGGAGCUGUAGCCCGGAGUUGGGGACUGAGACAAGGCCCCAGGCCCUACGGGGCGCAGCAGGCGCGAAACCUCUGCAAUGCGGGAAACCGUGACAGGGGGAUUCCAAGUGCUCAUGCAUUGCAUGGGCUGUUCUUUGGUCUAAGUAACCAGAGGAGUAAGGGCUGGGCAAGACCGGUGCCAGCCGCCGCGGUAAUACCGGCAGCUCGAGUGGUAGCCGCGAUUAUUGGGCCUAAAACGUUCGUAGCCGGAUAAGUAAGUCUUUGGUUAAAUCCUACGACUUAACCGUGGGAAAUCUAGAGAUACUGCUUGUCUUGAGACCGGGAGAGGUUGGAGGUACUCCCAGGGUAGGGGUGAAAUCCUGUAAUCCUGGGGGGACCACCUGUGGCGAAGGCGUCCAACUGGAACGGCUCUGACGGUGAGGGACGAAACCUAGGGGAGCGAGCCGGAUUAGAUACCCGGGUAGUCCUAGGCGUAAAUGAUGCGAGUUAAGUGUGGGGGCAUCUACGAGAUGGCCCUGUGCUGUAGGGUAGCCGUUAAACUCGCUGCCUGGGGAGUACGGUCGCAAGGCUGAAACUUAAAGGAAUUGGCGGGGGAGCACCACAAGAGGUGGAGGCUGCGGUUCAAUUGGAUUCAACGCCGGG
rnacentral:rRNA from 2 species